AAACUUAAGAGUUUGAUCCUGGCUCAGAACGAACGUUGGCGGCACGCUUAAUACAUGCAAGUCGAACGAGAAGCUUGGUUCGCCAAGUGGAAAGUGGCAGACGGCUGAGUAACGCGUGGGAAUCUACCUAGAGGUUCGGAACAACUAUUGGAAACGAUAGCUAAUACCGGAUAAGCCCUUCGGGGGAAAGAU
rnacentral:rRNA from 1 species